rnacentral:rRNA from 1 species
AAAGAGUUUUGAUAUCUGCUCAGGAUGAACGCUGGCGGCGUGCUUAACACAUGCAAGUCGAACGGUGAAGCCCAGCUUGCUGGGUGAUCAGUGCGAACGGGUGAGUAACACGUGAGCAAUCUGCCCCUGACUCUGGGAUAAGCGCUGGAAACGGCGUCUAAUACUGGAUAUGAGCUGCGAUCGCAUGGUCAGUAGCUGGAAAGAUUUUUUGGUCAGGGAUGAGCUCGCGGCCUAUCAGCUUGUUGGUGAGGUAAUGGCUCACCAAGGCGUCGACGGGUAGCCGGCCUGAGAGGGUGACCGGCCACACUGGGACUGAGACACGGCCCAGACUCCUACGGGAGGCAGCAGUGGGGAAUAUUGCACAAUGGGCGCAAGCCUGAUGCAGCAACGCCGCGUGAGGGAUGACGGCCUUCGGGUUGUAAACCUCUUUUAGCAGGGAAGAAGCGAAAGUGACGGUACCUGCAGAAAAAGCGCCGGCUAACUACGUGCCAGCAGCCGCGGUAAUACGUAGGGCGCAAGCGUUAUCCGGAAUUAUUGGGCGUAAAGAGCUCGUAGGCGGUUUGUCGCGUCUGCUGUGAAAUCCCGAGGCUCAACCUCGGGUCUGCAGUGGGUACGGGCAGACUAGAGUGCGGUAGGGGAGAUUGGAAUUCCUGGUGUAGCGGUGGAAUGCGCAGAUAUCAGGAGGAACACCGAUGGCGAAGGCAGAUCUCUGGGCCGUAACUGACGCUGAGGAGCGAAAGGGUGGGGAGCAAACAGGCUUAGAUACCCUGGUAGUCCACCCCGUAAACGUUGGGAACUAGUUGUGGGGUCCAUUCCACGGAUUCCGUGACGCAGCUAACGCAUUAAGUU